rnacentral:rRNA from 1 species
CGGGUGAGUAACACGUGAGGAACCUGCCCCGAAGACUGGGAUAACACCGGGAAACCGGUGCUAAUACCGGAUGCCCUCAAACUGCCGCAUGACGGUUUGAGGAAAUGGAUUCCGCUUCGGGAGGGCCUCGCGGCCUAUCAGCUUGUUGGUGGGGUAACGGCCCACCAAGGCUACGACGGGUAGCUGGUCUGAGAGGACGACCAGCCACACUGGGACUGAGACACGGCCCAGACUCCUACGGGAGGCAGCAGUGGGGAAUAUUGCGCAAUGGGCGAAAGCCUGACGCAGCAACGCCGCGUGGGGGAUGACGGCCUUCGGGUUGUAAACCCCUUUCAGCAGGGACGAAACUGACGGUACCUGCAGAAGAAGCCCCGGCCAACUACGUGCCAGCAGCCGCGGUAAUACGUAGGGGGCGAGCGUUGUCCGGAUUCAUUGGGCGUAAAGAGCUCGUAGGCGGUUUAGCAAGUCGGGUGUGAAAUCUCCAGGCUCAACCUGGAGCGGCCAUUCGAUACUGCUAUGACUUGAGUCCAGUAGGGGAGUGUGGAAUUCCCGGUGUAGCGGUGAAAUGCGCAGAUAUCGGGAGGAAC